GCAGAACUUUCAGCAUCCAAUCAGAAGCGAGUAUUUUACACAUCACCGUGGCCAACAACUCUGUUUCCAUAGUAACCAAAGCAAAGAAGCAUCACGUGUUCCAUAGCUGAUUGCCAAGAACUCUCUUUCCAUCGUAACCAAAGGCGCUGUGCAUGCGCACAAGGAGUAUAACCACCACGUGUUCUAUAAUUGUUUGUUUUCAGAAUAGAAGGAAUUCGAUUCUAGAACGAUAUAGAGAUUUUAGCAACAGUGACGAGAAAAAAAAUUUGUAAGGAAGAACAUC